UGCCAGCAGCCGCGGUAAUACGGAGGGGGUUAGCGUUGUUCGGAAUCACUGGGCGUAAAGCGUAUGUAGGCGGAUCAAAAAGUUAGAUGUGAAAUCCCUGGGCUCAACCCAGGAACUGCAUUUAAAACUAGUGAUCUAGAAUUUGGUAGGGGCCAGUAGAAUUUCCAGUGUAGAGGUGAAAUUCGUAGAUAUCAGAAGGAAUACCAAUGGCGAAGGCAGCUCUCUGGCUCGUCACUGACGCUGAGGUGCGAAAGCGUGGGUAGCAAACAGGAUUAGAUA
rnacentral:rRNA from 1 species